UCAGAGGGUUUUAAAUUUACAAAGUUAUUUCGAAGGAUAUUAUUUCUCAAGUAAGAAAUUUGUAAAGAUGAAGACAGUUGCCUUACUUCUUCUACUGUGCCUUCUGUCCUUGGUAAUUGUUGACCCUGUUGUUGCUCAGAGUGGAUGUGUGAGAAGAUGUCGGAACAGAGACUGCUACAGGUACUGUAGGAGACGGGGGUAUCUCACAGGAUCCUGUAGACGAUCAAUCUUCUGUCCGCGGAGACGGCCAAGAAGAUGUGGUUGUCAUUUUAGAAGACCGUAUGGUGGAUAAAACAAGGAUCAACAUGCAAAAUGUAUACAUUGACUUCAAAAUGAGAAAUAAAAUAUAUGUUCAUAUUAUCAAA